rnacentral:rRNA from 1 species
GACGAACGCUGGCGGCGUGCUUAACACAUGCAAGUCGAACGGAAAGGCCCUGCUUUUGUGGGGUGCUCGAGUGGCGAACGGGUGAGUAACACGUGAGUAACCUGCCCUUGACUUUGGGAUAACUUCAGGAAACUGGGGCUAAUACCGGAUAGGAGCUCCUGCUGCAUGGUGGGGGUUGGAAAGUUUCGGCGGUUGGGGAUGGACUCGCGGCUUAUCAGCUUGUUGGUGGGGUAGUGGCUUACCAAGGCUUUGACGGGUAGCCGGCCUGAGAGGGUGACCGGCCACAUUGGGACUGAGAUACGGCCCAGACUCCUACGGGAGGCAGCAGUGGGGAAUAUUGCACAAUGGGCGGAAGCCUGAUGCAGCAACGCCGCGUGCGGGAUGACGGCCUUCGGGUUGUAAACCGCUUUCGCCUGUGACGAAGCGUGAGUGACGGUAAUGGGUAAAGAAGCACCGGCUAACUACGUGCCAGCAGCCGCGGUGAUACGUAGGGUGCGAGCGUUGUCCGGAUUUAUUGGGCGUAAAGGGCUCGUAGGUGGUUGAUCGCGUCGGAAGUGUAAUCUUGGGGCUUAACCCUGAGCGCGCUUUCGAUACGGGUUGACUUGAGGAAGGUAGGGGAGAAUGGAACUCCUGGUGGAGCGGUGGAAUGCGCAGAUAUCAGGAGGAACACCAGUGGCGAAGGCGGUUCUCUGGGCCUUUCCUGACGCUGAGGAGCGAAAGCGUGGGGAGCGAACAGGCUUAGAUACCCUGGUAGUCCACGCUGUAAACGGUGGGUACUAGGUGUGGGGUCCAUUCCACGGGUUCCGUGCCGUAGCUAAUGCUUUAAGUACCCCGCCUGGGGAGUACGGCCGCAAGGCUAAAACUCAAAGGAAUUGACGGGGCCCCGCACAAGCGGCGGAGCAUGCGGAUUAAUUCGAUGCAACGCGUAGAACCUUACCUGGGUUUGACAUGGAUCGGGAGUGCUCAGAGAUGGGUGUGCCUCUUUUGGGGUCGGUUCACAGGUGGUGCAUGCCUGUCGUCAGCUCGUGUCGUGAGAUGUUGGGUUAAGUCCCGCAACGAGCGCAACCCUUGUUCACUGUUGCCAGCACGUUAUGGUGGGGACUCAGUGGAGACCGCCGGGGUCAACUCGGAGGAAGGUGGGGAUGACGUCAAGUCCUCAUGCCCCUUAUGUCCAGGGCUUCACGCAUGCUACGAUGGCUGGUACAGAGAGUGGCGAGCCUGUGAGGGUGAGCGAAUCUCGGAAAGCCGGUCUCAGUUCGGAUUGGGGUCUGCAACUCGACCUCAUGAAGUCGGAGUCGCUAGUAAUCGCAGAUCAGCAACGCUGCGGUGAAUACGUUCCCGGG